CACAAACAAAGAUGGCGGAUAGCACAGAAAGGUAUAGCAUAGUAGCUCGGAUUCAGACUCGGAUUUCAGCGGCGCAAGCUAUUCAACAGAUUACGCAUGUAUUGAAACGGAUGGUUGGAGUGUGGAGGCAGAUAGCGAAAACGAAAUUGAAGAAGAAACUGAAGCUAUUGAGCCAUAUCACGACAGACAGCGGAACAGGAGGAAGCAAGAACGAAUACGGCGAUCGCCUUCUAAGCAACUAUUGAAAGAAACAAACCACCAUUAGUGACUUGGUACAAAGGAAGGUGUGCACACCACGGCGAGCGGCUGCCCUGACUGAUGCUAUCCUGAAUAUGUUGCUAACUCACAUGAGGCGACUAUCAAAGGUGGAAGAUGAAGGUUUUAGACAAAUGAUUCACGUCCUCAACCCUGGUUACACUCUUUCCUCGAGGAACCCUUUUACCAAACUGAUGGAGAGGAAGUACGAGCAGACAUUUCAUGCAGUGUAGACUGACAUAAGAGCCACCCAGAGCAAAAUUGCUCUCACUUCUGAGGUGUGGACAAGUGUAGCCACGGAAGCCUACCUUGGAAAUAAAUACAUGCCACUACAUUGGAGACGAAUGGAAUACGAAGACAAUUUGCCUUACGACCAUGCCACUAGAGCAGGGGUCGGGAACCUUUUUGGCUGAGAGAGCCAUACAAGCCAAAUAUUUUAAAAAGUACUUCCUUGAGAGCCAUAUAAUAUUUUUUUAAGACUGAACACAACUAAAUGUGUGCAUUUGUAAGUAAAAACGACAUUUUUAGAGUAUAAUAAAAUAAGUCUUAUUCUUUUUAAUACCACUGUUAUUCUGAAGCGAACCAACAAUAAAUAAAAUACUUCUUACCAUUAAUGCGACUUCUUGAACAGGUGCGGUAAAAGCCAGAUGGAGGGAUUAAAAUGCAUGAGAAUGUUUUAUAUUUUGAACGUUAUUUUUGACACUGUGACUACCAGCAGAAUUAUUCAUUACUUAUCAUGUUAAUGUCAGCUAAGAUUUAUCUGAGAGCCAGGUGCAGGCAUCAAAAGAGCCACGUCUGGCUCUAGAGCUAUAGGUACCCUACCCCUGCACUAGAGGAAAGACAUUCUGCAUCCAAUAUUAUCAGAAUGGUUGGAAUAGGUUUGAAAUUCUCCUAAGAAAAAUUAUUGCUAUCGUGCAGGACAAUGGUGCACUUUAUUAAAAAAAAUAACAUUUUCGUAACACUUGCCUUCUUUUAUUUGGCAAGUCGAAAGGACAUGGUGCCAGUAUGCUGUUUUUUUAAAUAAAGUAUUGGAAAGGAUAGAAAUGUAGUAUGUCUCUUUCAUCCGAUUAUUAAUCGAAGUAAUAAUCAACAGAUUAAUUAUCAAAUUAAUCGUUAGUUGCAGCCCUACAAUCCACACAUAAAUGUCAGUACUAAAGGGACGGUAUAGCUCGGUUGGUAGAACGACCGUGUCAGCAACUUGAGGGUUGCAGGUUCGAUCCCCGCUUCCGCCAUCCUAGUCACUGCCGUUGUGUCCUUGGGCAAGACACUUUACCCACCUGCUCCCAGUGCCACCCACACUGCUUUAAAUGUAAGAAUUAGAUAUUGGGUUUCACUAUGUAAAGCGCUUUGAGUCACUAGAGAAAAAGCGCUAUAUAAAUAUAAUUCACUUCACUUCACUAGAGGGCCCUAUGCCCAAAGUGAAAUACCUACAAUUUCAACUGGUGGUUUGCUUCCUCCCAGAUGAAUGAAAACAUUUACCACAUGCAAAACAUAAUAUGAGUUAAUUAAUUAACUUCAUUAACAUAUAUAAAUUAAAAACUAAUUCAGAAUUUGCGACUUUUCCACCUUAAAAAAAGGCUAAACUGUGGUGUAAACCUGAGUUACUGAGGUUCUCGACUCUGAAUGGAAAAGCACCGAGAACACACACUUGGUUAAAUAGAGAAAAUAAAAAUCAUAACAAAGUUUCAGUAUGCAAACUAGUGAAAGGGUUAUUACCCCUGCAAAGGAAACGCUACACCUCUGGGGUGAGGCACCGUGUCCAAGUUCCAGUUGGCUGACUGCGCGGUUCGGCCGGCAAGAGUUUCCGGUCUGACAACAGCGAGUCUUGAAGAGCCUCAAGCACGUCCUCCAUGUAGAAACAUCUUUCCAACACUAUUAGUAAAAUAUUAUGGUGCAGACAAAUUGAUUUUUUAGAUUAAAGGCCUACUGAAACCCACUACUACCGACCACGCAGUCUGAUAGUUUAUAUAUCAAUGAUGAAAUAUUAACAUUGCAACACAUGCCAAUACAGCCUUUUUAGUUGACUAAAUUGCAAUUUUAAAACGUGGCGGUAUGAUGACGCAUGCGUUUGACGUCACCGGUCGUAGCGGACAUUUUUUUCCAGCCCGAUCCAAGCUAUAAAUAGUCUGCUUUAAUCGCAUAAUUACGCAGUAUUCUGGACAUCUGUGUUGCCUAAUAUUUUGCAAUUUGUUCAAUUAAUAAUGGAGAAGUCAAAGUAGAAAGAUGGAGGUUGGAAGCUUUUAGCCUUUAGCAACACAAACACAGCCGGUGUUUCCUUUUUUAAAAUUCCCGAAGGUGAAGCUUUACUAUGGAACAGAGCGGUCAAUUUUCUCGCAUUUUCGGUGAGAAAAUUGUGGUAAUAAGUCGGCUCUUACCGUAGACAUGAGCGGAGCUUGCGUCCUCCCACCGGAGAUACUGGCGGUCACCACACCCGUGGCCACACUCCUCUGACUUUCAGGUACCAUAUAAUCUCACUAAAACACUACUAACACAAUAGGCAGAUAAGGGAUUUUCCAGAAUUAUCCUAGUAAAUGUGUCUAAUAACAUCUGAAUCGCUCUCACUGCCCUCGCCUUUUUUUUUUUUUCUAGUCCUUCACUCUCACUAUCCUCAUCCACGAAUCUUUCAUCCUCGCUCUAGCUGCUGGUGGCUAUGAUUGUAAACAAUGUGAGGAUGUGAGGAGCCCUACAACCAGUGACGUCACGCGCACAUCGUCUGCUACUUCCGGUAAAGGCAAGGCUUUUUUAUUAGCGACCAAAAGUUGCGAACUUUAUCGUCGAUGUUCUCUACUAAAUCCUUUCAGCAAAAAUAUGGCAAUAUCGCGAAAUGAUCAAGUAUGACACAUAGAAUGGACCUGCUAUCCCCGUUUAAAUAAGAAAAUCUCAUUUCAGUAGGCAUUUAAGAGAUGUGGGAGCUGAGCCAAAAUACAGUCAUUUGUUUAGUUUACAUUAUAUCACACCAGGAAGCAGCAUUGUUCUUUUGUGACCACCAAAAUUGGAGGUAGAUAGAAAUUAUCGCUGACUCUCAAUAAACCAGGGAUGCUCAAAGUGGGGCCCGCGGGCCAAUUUUGGCCCAUCGUCUCAUUUUUUUGGGCCGGCCAAAGGCCCUUUGAUGGCAUGUCCGCAAGGCUACACUAUAAAAAAAAAAAGUCAGGAGGCGUUAUUGUCACCUGGCAACUCGAGUGCUAGAAAUGUACUGUAAAAUCAUUAGUGGUGCCAUAUUUUCACUCACCGUAAUGCCCUGUAAGAACAGGGAACAUGUAUAUUUUACCGUAAAAAAGUAGCAGCUCUGUCGCCAGAAUUUUACGGUAAAAAAAAAAGUGAUGCUGUUUUUGAAUUUAUAGUAAUGCACUGUAAAAAAUAUGCCUCUAAAAUAUAUAUUAGGGGAAAAAAACUGUUGGUACACAGUAACAGUGGUACUGUUAAAAUGGUACAGCUUUUCAAAAUACAUUAAUUUGGUAUGAAACAGUGGUUCUUAACCCGGGUUCGAUCGAACCCUAGGGGUUCGGUGACUCGGCCUCAGGAGUUCGGCAGAGGUCAAAACACACCCGACUCAUCGUCUUAAUAAAAACUUCUCCCUAUCUGCGUAUUAUGGAUACGGCAACAGCAGAAUUCACACUGAUUUGCAGGUGUGUAAUUUGUUGUGACUUUAUGCAGUCUAGUGUGAGUUUAGUGUCGGUUUUGUUCUUUGAACAAGGUGAUGUUCUUGCACGGUUCAUUUUGUGACCAGUAAAAAAACAUGGUAACACUUUAGCAUGGGGGAUAAAUGUAAUAGUGUGAUGUUGUUGCGCUAUAUUAUGAACGAGACAGGGUGUUAUGUUUUAUUUUGAAGUACUAGUUUUAUUUUGAAGAACCGGAUGUCCAGUGCAGGAAGUGACUCUGCGUUUUUUUCGGAUAUUUACUUCCUCUUCAAUCGGACUUUUGCUGAUGAGGUAAUAUUUCUUCAUUGCGCUGUAUUUCUUGUGUAAAUAUUAUUUCUAAACUUUCAUAAUACUUUAAAAGUUAAAACAUUAAUGUUGUAGGUAUAAGUGAUGUGUUGUUUUAAGUAUUUUUUUAUGCACAAUUUUGUUAAGUCAGGAUUAGAGCGUCGAAUGUUUGAAAUGUUUGGUCAUAAUUACACAUGGUAUUUACGCAGGUAUCACUCCGCCAGAAAAGUAAAGACCUGUGUAUGUGUUUCAUGUUUCCAACAAAGAUGUACUUUGUGGACGUCGUCUGCUGCUCCACACACUCAACACGGCGGUCGGCGGAUAAUAGCCGGGAAAGUACUGGGAUAGCUGUGAAGUUUGUGCGGCAUAACAAUGCCGGCCGGAUUUGUUCCUCCAGAGAUGCGUCGGGCAAGAACACAGCUUGAGCAUAAAAGGGGAGGAGGAGGAACAAUCGGGGCAGAAAUAGGAGAGGAACCACCCGAGAAGGAAGACCACGAACGCGACGAGAGAGACCCAGAGAGAGAUGAGCCCCCGCGGACGACGCAGCCACCGGCCACCGAAAGGUGCGCCGCGACUAGCAGGAAGAAACGGCGCGCUAGAAAUUGGUGCGACCGACUAGCAAAAAACUAUGUUUAUUGUAACAAUAAACCAGAGUCA